GGGAGUGUAGCUCAGUGGCAGAGCAUUCGACUGCAGAUCGAGAGGUCCCCGGUCCAAUCCCGGGCGCUCCCU